AACCCGGACCUGCAGAGAUUGCUAGGAUAAUGCAUUGCUUACGUAAUGUGACCCAGUGCUACUCCACUGAGACUUCAGAACUGCUGUAGGGAAUUUCAAGGCCUCUGUUAGACUCUAUUUGGAAUCUUUUUCUCCACCUUACAUCAAAAGGAAGCUGAAAGAGUUAAAGUGCUUUGCUAAAGGAAUUCUACUCACUAGGAGAAUCUGUCCUCAACAUACAGGAUUCUGAAGACUAUCCACCGUCAAGAUCAUCAUCAUUUUCUAUAGUUUCAGAGUUAUCUGCAAAUGGUGUUUCAGUCACAUCAUGUAUGUCACAUAGCCACAGUAUAUCACCUGCAGCAAAAACGGAAAAAAAAAAUCUCCAUCCAGAAACAACCAUAGAUAAAUUUGUGAUGAGAACCAGCAGAUUACAAAAAGAGGUAAUUGAUUAAAUAUUUGUGCGGUUUGUUUGUGCAAGAAACUCCUUUCCAUAUGAUUGAGAACUCACACUUCAUUAACAUGGUUCAGUCAUUAAGACCAGGAUACAGUCCACUCAACAGAGCAGAUGUUGCAGGCAAAUUUCUGGAUAAAGUGUAUGAAAGAGAAAUUGAGCAGUGUGCAAAAGGUCUAGAGGUGAAAUUUUUAACCUGAUUCUUGAUGGGUGGAGCAGUGUCCACAAUGAUCCUGUUGUGUGUGCUUGUGUGACAACAGAAGAAGGGAAUGUCUUCCUUGCAGAAACAAUUGAUCAGGAAAUGUGCACACACAGCAGAAUACUUACAAGAAGUAGCAGUAAAAGCUAUAACAAACUGUGGGGUGAAAAUUCAAAUGUCUAGUAUGCAGCUUGGUCACAGACAAUGCUGCAAAUGUAUCCAAGAUGAGAAGAAAUCAUUUAGAAGAGAGUGAAAAGAGUCCCAAGUUAAUAGCGUACAGUUGCAGUGCUCAUUUGAUGCUCUUCCUAGCCAAAGACUUCAGUGUUCCAGAAAUAAAGGCUAAUGUUGUUGAAAUUGCAAAACACUUUUGUAACAACCACUUUGCAGCAGCGGCUCUGAAAAAUGUGGGAGGAACCAAGCUAACUCUCCCACAAGACGUGUGAUGGAACUCGGUAGUGGACUGUUUUGAGCACUAUAUCAAGAACUGGCCUAAUCUGAUGAGAGUUUGUGAACAAAAUAGCAAAAAUAUAGAUGGCACUGUCACAGCCAAAGUUCUCAACAUGGGGCUUAAGAGAAAUGUUGAACACAUGCUGAGUACACUGACGGCUAUUUCUGUAGCCUUGAACAAAACGCAGGGAAAUAGCUGUUUUAUUGUUGGCGCUGUUGACAUUUGGAAGGAACUGAGUGAGAGCUUAAAAAGAGAAAUAUGCAAUGACAGAGUUAAAUUACAAGCAUUAAAAAACCCCGAAUUGGAUAAGCACCAUCUCCAGCUCAUUUUCUUGCAAAUAUUCUCAGUACUCAGUACCAGGGUCAAACCUUAACUGCUGAAGAAGAGGAGUUGGCUAUGACAUAGACAUCCAGCAAUCAUCGCUCCAUAAUGCCAACUAUAAUAAACUUCAAAGCUAAGGGUGAACUAUUCAAGAAAUAUAUGUUUGAUGAUGUUUUGAAGAAAGUCACACCAGUGAACUAGUGGAAGUCACUUAAGCACUUGGAUUCAGAGACUGUUGAAGUGAUAAUCUCACUUUUAACACCAGUAGCUUCUUCUGCCAGUGUAGAAAGAAUAUUUUCUUCCUUUGGACUAACUCAUUGCAAAUUGAGAAAUCCUUUGGGACCUGAAAAAGCAGGAAAGCUUGUUUUUCUUUUCCAGAUUGGGAACAAGCAGGAAAAUGAAGGUGAAAACGACUGAGUUAGCUGCAGAAACCAAUAUUUUAAGUUUCUCAUAUUGACCUAGCUGACAGUCUAUUUAAUUUUUUUUCAAAAAAUAUUUCAUUUAACUAUUUUAGUUAAAAAUAAUUUUAACAAAAACCUGAUUUUAAAAAACUUGAUUGUUUAACUAAAUUCAAAAAUUCAUAUGCUUGUUUUGUUAAAAUAUUAUGUUUGCUGUUGAAGAAAAAAAUCCAGAAUACAUAACGUUGUUGUUUUAGUUAAAUAAAACAAUUUAAAUGUCUGUCUGGUGAUGUUCUCCUCCUAAUACAGCAUGGCAAGA